rnacentral:lncRNA from 10 species
AUUUUUGUACUUUUAGUAGAGACAAGGUUUCACCAUGUUGGCCAGGAUGGUCUUGAACUCCUGACCUCAGAUGAUCCACUCACCUCAGCCUCCCAAAGUGCUGGGAUGACAGGCAUGAGCCGCCGCGCCUGGCCGGGGACUGGCUUCUUUCACUGAGCGUAGUGUCUUCAAGGCUCCUCCACAUUGUCGCAUGUGCCAGAAUUUCCCUCUGUGUUACUCCAUUCUCGCACUGCUAUAAAGAAAUACCUGAGACUGGGUAAUUUAGAAAAAGGGGGUUUAAUUGGCUCAUAGUUCCGCAGGCUGUAUGGGAACAUGGCGCCAGGCAUCCACUCGGCUUCCGUGGAGGCCUCAGGAAGGUGAGAAGGUGAUGGGGAAGCUGGUGUCUCACAUGGCGGAAUCAGAGAGACACAGCAGGGGAGGUGCCACACACUUUUAAACAACCGGAUCUGGGGAGAACUCACUCAGUAUUGCAAAGACAGCACCAAGAGGAUGGUGCUAAGCCAUUCAUGAGAAAUCCACCCCCGUGAUCAAAUCACCUCCCACCAGACCCCACCUCCAACACUGGGGGUUACAAUUCAACAUGAGAUUUGGGUGGGGACACAGAUCCAAACCAUAUCCCCUUCCUUUUCAUGGCUGAGUCAUGUUCCAUUGUAUGGAUGGACCCCAUUUGCUUAAUCCUGUCAUCAGAUGGUAGACAUUUGGGCUGUUGGCCCUUUUUGGCCAAAGGAGAUGGAGUGCUAUGAGUGUUCAUGCACGCAUUUGCGUGUGGACUUAGGGUUUCAUUUCCUGUAGGCACAUUCCCAGGAGCGGGCUUGAUGGGUGGAAUGGCAACCGUAGGUUUACAUGUGUGAGGAGCCCACGGCCCCAUAGCGUUGGCACCACGGCCCAUCCCCAGCAGCACAGGCAGCUCCGACUCCCCCACGCCCAGCGCUUGCCGUGGUCUGGCUUUGGGAUGGCAGCUGUCCUACUGGUUCUGACGUGCAUUCCUCGGUGUCACCUUCUCUGUGAGGCCUUUCCUGACCCUACCCCUCGCCUGCCACCCCGCCCCUGGCAUUCCUCAUCUGCCACUGCCUGCCAGUGCAGUCCCAGUGGGCCUUGGAGUGGAAGUGGAGGAGGAGAGGCCGCCUGUGCCGGAGACGCCACGCAGGUCUGUUCAAUGAGUAAAUGAGGCUAAGGGCCUUCCCGUCCACCUGCUGAGUCCCCUGGCAUGAGGACUGUCCCACAGAAAGGCUCAGGAUGCCUGGCUUGGGAGGCACACCUGGACCCCUGGCUUGUGGGCUCCCGGAGCUGGUGCAGAGUCUGGCUCUCCCCAUCACACACAGGGCCCUGCUGAGCCCUGAUCCGUGCACUGCAUGGGUGGCUGGGCCCAGUCAGGAGGAGGCUGGACCUUGCCACAGCUGUGUCUCUCAUUACAGUCCCUGGAGACCCAAAGUCUCUGGGUAGCUUCCACCAGUCCCUCAAAUCCUGGCUUCUUUGUGGUGAGCACAGGGUGUGGGGUGUCCUGCUCCGAGGCCAUAGGAACUCAAGAAGCAACUGGAGCCUGGGUCAGUGUGGGUGAGGGGCUGCCAGGUCCCCCCCGAUAGUGGCUUCUGCCCCCCAGCCCUUGGAAAUCACCCCAGAUGGUCACUCCUAAGUCUCGGCCACGAUACGUGUUUGGUUACCCUUCAGGUGCCCCAAACCCAGGCGUCGUCUCUCCCAUGCCCUGGAUUCCUGGUCUCAGGAUGGAUCAGCGUCCACCCUGGCUUCAAAACGCCCUCCAGGCGACCAGCCUCGAGCCCUUCUGUCACCCAGCAGCCACACACCCUGCCCUGCCACACUGACCACGCCCGGGGGCUGGAUCUCAUCAUCCUUGGGUCUCUGGGCCUCCCCACCCCACUGCCACCCCCGAUCCCCUCUGGCCAUCCUGUCAUUGUCUGAACCCUUCAUGAGAUUUCUAGAGCCCCUGGAUGAAAUUACAUGGACUGCCCCGGACCAGAGGCACAGAGGCCGGCACAGCUGCCCGCUCCACCCACUGCCUGGUCUAGGCCAGGCCCCUCCUGGUGUCGUGACAGGGCCUUCCCACUCCCAGUUACUUCUUGCCCAUGGCCCACAGAAGCUUCCAUCACAAUGCAUCUGGGGUGCAGGCUGCUCAGCUUCCCCUGCCAGGCCUUGAAGACGCGGCCCACUCAUUCAGCUGUGUCCUCGAGACCCUGACGCCCUCCUGGAGCGUUCACUGAAUGGAAAGGUUCCAGGUGGUCACGGUGGGAGCACCUCUGACUGGCAGACCAUGUGUCAGUCCUCCCCAAGGCCAAGGCAGGCUUGCCUCCUCCCGGGCUCCUGAUCAACAUGGUUCCAAGGUCUGUUCUUUCUCCCCUGGGUGUGAGUGUGUGAUUUGAGUCUGCGUGUGUGUGUGUGUGGGUGUGAUCUGUGUGAGUGUGUGUGUGCAUGGGUGUGAUGUGUGUGAGUAUAUGUGUGUGUGAUGUGAGCGUGUGUGAUGUGUGUGUGGUGGUGUGAUAUGUGUGUGUGUGUGUGCAUGGGUGUGUUGGAUGGUAUGGUACAGGCUCAUUCAGUCUCUGCACUCCGCCUCCUGCUCAGUCUGGUGGACGCUUUCCUACCACUGCGUGCGCUUUCUGAGCAGUGCCGACUGAGGAGGCAGCGGCCCCUGCUCUGUGUUCUCCUGGGGUUGCCCACCUCUCCAGCCUCCCCUCCUCAGGUCAGGCCUCUCCUGGGCUACAGGCUCACUUGUGCAUUUUCUUGGUGCACCCUGGAGUGGACUCACUCUCGCCGUGAGUGUCGCUGAAACACUGGCCUCCUCCCAGUUCCCACCCCGGUGUAUGUUGGGAUGGGAUGCCCCUCCCAGGAAGGUGCAGCAGGCUGCUGCGCAGAGUGUGUUCAACCGUCUCCAUUCUCUCACCGUCCCUGAGUGUGCCUGCCUGGGGUCAUCAAACAAAUCAUAAAGUAAAGCCUGAAAGAAUCAACCUGCUUCCAAGUAACUGAACUGCAUGCAGCCCAGGACAAAGUCCAAACAAAAUGUAUAAGAGUACAAAAUGCUGAACACCCAAAAAGGUACAAUUCACAAUGCACAACAACCAAUCAAAGAUGACUAAGCACACGAAAAGGCAGGAAAAUAUGCCCCACAAUGAGGAAGAUCAGCCAACUGAAACUGAUGCAGACGGACACAAAAUUAUCAGAAAAAGACAUUGAAACAGCUUCCUAACUGUGUUCCACAGCUGCAAGAAGUUAAAGACAUGAAGUAUAGUUUAAAAGACUCAAAUACAACUUCUAAAGUAAAAACUACCAUGCCUGAGAUGAAAAAAUACACUGGAUGAGAUUAACAGCAAAAGAAAAGAAUACUGAAUUUGAAGACAUAGAAAUGGAAACCAUUCAAAAUAAAAUACAGAGAGACAAAAGAAAUGUUUUUAACUGCAUCGAUGAGUUCUGGUGUAACUCCAGGUGGCCCAAUAUAUGGAUAAUUGGCUUCCUUGAAGGAGAGAUGUGUGUAUGUUUGGGGCAGGAGGGAGAAAGAAAAAUGUUUGAAGAAAUAAUGACUGAAACAUUUCCAAACUUAAUGAAAACUAUAAACCAAGAAACUCAAUGACUCCCUAGGGCAGGAAACAGGACUAAAACCAAGCCAAGGUACAUCAUAAUCAAAUUGUUUAAACUAGUGAUAAAAUGAGAAUCUUAAAAGCAACUAGAGGCAAAAGGAACACGGUACGUGCAGAGGAACGGAUGGCCGCAGAUUUCCCACAAGACGCAAUGCAAGAAGACGGGAAAGCAAGACCUUUAAAUUGCUGAAACAAAAAGAACCCAUCAGCAUCAGAAUGCUAUGCCUGGGUAAAACAUCCUUCACAAACGAAAUUUAAAUAAGAACAUUUUGGAGAUAUAAAAGCUGAAGCUCCAUCGCCGGCAGAACCGUGCCGUGAAUGACGUUCAAGAAAUUCACUCAGGCUGAAGCGGCGUGAAAUCAGACAGAAAUCUACAUUCUACUGGAAAUGGUAACUACAUGGGCAAACACGUGAGAUUUUAAAAUCAUUUAAAUUUCUUUGGAGAUGCAAAUCAAAACCACAAGGAGGCCAGGCGCGGUGGCUCUCGCCUGUAAUCCCAGCACUUUGGGAGGCCGAGGUGGGCGGAUCACUUGAGGUCAGGAGUUUGAGAGCGGCCUAACCAACGUGGUGAAACCCUGUCUCUGCUAAAAAUACAAAAAUUAGCCAGGUGUCGUGGCGCAUGCCUGUAAUCUCAGCUACUCAGGAGGCUGAGGCAGGAGAAUUGCUUGAACCCGGGAGUCGGAGCUUGCAGUGAGCCAAGAUCGCACCACUGCACUCCAGCCUGGGCAACAGAGCGAGACUCUGUCUCAAAAAACAAAACAAAACAAAACAACCCACAAGGAUAUACCAUCUCACACCAGUCAGAAUGCCUAUUACUAAAAAGUCAAAAAACAGAUGCUGGGGAGGUUGUGGAAAAGAAAGAACGCUUUUCUCUUGUUGGUGGAAGUGUAAAUUAGUUCAGCCAUCGUGGAAGACGAUAUGGUAACUCCUCAGACACCUAGAGACAGAACUACCAUUCAACCCAGCAAUCCUUUUACUGGGUAUAUACCUAGAGGAAUAUAAGUCAUUCUAUCAUAAAGACACAUGCACGCCAUUGCAGCACUAUACAAUAGCAAGGACAUGGAAUCAACCUAAAUGCCCAUCAAUGAUAGACUGGAUAGGCUGGGCGCGGUGGCUCAUGCCUGUAAUCGCAGCAGUUUGGGAGGCCGAGGUGGGUGGAUCAUGUGAAGCCAGGACUUCGAGACCAGCCUGACCAGCAUAGCGAAACCCCGUCUCUACUAAAAAUACAAAAUUAGCCAGGUGUGGUGGUGUGCACCUGUGGUCCUAGCUACUUGGGAGGCUGAGGCAGGAGAAUCGCUUGAACCCGGGAGGCAGAAGUUGCAGUGAGCCAGAUUGCACCAUUGCACUCUAGCCUAGGCAACAAGAAGUAAACUCCAUCUCAAAAAAAAAAAAAAAAAAAAAGACAGACUAGAUAAAGAAAAUGUGGUAUAUAUACACCAUGGAAUACUCUGCAGCCAUAAAAAGGAAUGAGGUCUGGACUAUUUAGAAGUGACUUCUUAAUUUUCAACCUUUCAAGAGUUCAAUAAUAUUUUUGUUUCAGAUCUCCAUCUUAGCAACAAAGUGAUCAGAAAACAUACUUUUUGUGCUAUAAAUCCCUUAAACUGUGUGGAGAUUUUCUUAAUGGCUCCGUCUCUGAUCAAGUUGUACAAAUAUACUGUGUGUGCUUGAAUAAUGCAUGUAUUGUUGCUGCUGUGAGUGUAGGGUUUUGUCUUCUGUUUAAGUCCAUUUGUUAAUGACGUUGUGUAGAUUUUCUAUAUCCUCACUGACUUUUUUCGUCUGUUUAAUUUACUCAUUAAUGAAAAAGAUAUGUUAAAAAAAAAAAAAAGGAAUGGGGUCAUGUCCUUUGCAGAGACAUGAAUGGAACUGGAGGCCAUAAUCCUUCCCAAACUAAAGCAGGAACAGAAAACCAAAUACCGCAUGUUCUCACUUAUAAGUGGAAACUACAUGAUGAGAACACGUGGAGAUAUGGGGAACAAUGCACACUGGGGCUUAUUGAAGGGUGGAGGGUGGGAGAAGGGAGAGGAUCCGGAAAAAUAACUAAUGGAUACUAGGCUUAGUACCUGGGUGAUGAAAUAAUCUGUACAACAAACCCCCAUGACACACACUUAGGUAUGUAACAAACCUGCACAUCGUGCACAUGUUCCCCUGAACUUAAAAGUUAAAAAAAAAAAAAAAAAAACUCUUUGGCCGGGCGCGGUGGCUCACGCCUGUAAUCCCAGCACUUUGGAGGCCGAGGCAGGCGGAUCACGAGGUCAGGAGAUAGAGACCAUCCUGGCUAGCACGGUGAAACCCAUCUCUACUAAAAGUACAAAAAAUUAGCCGUGCGUGGUGGCGGGUGCCCAUAGUCACAGCUACUCGGGAGGCUGAGGCAGGAGAAUGGCGUGAACCCGGGAGGCGGAGCUUGCAGUGAGCCGAGAUCGCGCCACUGCACUCCAGUCUGGGUGACAGAGCAAGACUCCGUCUCAAAAAAAAAAAAGAGAAAGAAAGAAAGAAAGAAAGGAAAACUCUUUAAAAGCGGGGUUGGGAGAAGGUGGGGAUGGUGGUUAAUGAGUACUAAAAAUAGAGAGAAUGACUAAGACCUACUAUUUGAUAGCACAACAGGGUGACUAUAGUCAAUAAUAGCUUAAUUACAUAUUUUAAAAUAAAGAAUGUAAUUGGAUUAUUUGCAACUCAAAGGAUAAAUGCCUGAGGGAAUGGAUACCCCAUUCUCCAUGUUGUGCUUAUUUCACAUUGCAUGCCUGUAUCAAAACAUCUCAUGUACUUUAUAAAUAUAGAUACCUACUGUGUACCCACAAAAAUUUUUUUAAACAAUAAAAAUAAUUUAAAUCACUUUAAAAGGUAAUAGACUAGAAAAAAUAAUAACGGUGUGUUAUGAGAUUUUUAACAUACGUAAAAGUAAAAUGCUUGACAAGAACUGCGUAACGACUGAGGGGAAGUGGAAGGGUCCGAGUGCAAGGUGCUUCCCUAUAAGUAACGUGGUGAGACAUUGUAGAGAGUGAUGCUUAAAAUGUAUACUAAAGGGACUAACAAAAUAAACAAGAAGUUAUAGCUACAAAGUCAACAAAAGAGAUAAAAUGAAAUCAUGACAAAUAUUCAGGCUGGGUGCAGCGGCUCACACCUGUAAUCCCAGAACUUUGGGAGGCUGAGGGGGGGGUGUAUCCCUUGAACUCAGAAGUUUGAGACUAGCCAGGGCAACGUGGUGAAACUCUGUUUCUACCAAAAAUACAAAAAAUUAGCCAUGGCAUAGUGGCGUGUGUCUGUAGUUCCCGCUACUCAGGAGGCUGAGGUUGAAGGAUCACUUGAGCCUGGGAGGUUGAGGCUGCAGUGAGCUGAGAUCGCACUGCUGCGCUCCAGCCUGGGUGACAGAGUGAGACUCUGUCUCAAAAGAGAAAAAAAAUCAAUCAAUUCAGAAGAAGACAGAGAAGAAAAAUAAUAAAGAAUAAGUGUGGCAAAUAGAAAACAAAUAGGAAGAUGAUAGAAGAUUCAAGCCUAAUGACAUCAAUAAUCACAUGAAAUACAAAUGGUCUAAACCUCAUUACAAGUAGAAAAUGUCAAAUUGGGUUUAAAAAGCAAGGCCUGACUGUGUGCUGCCUACAUUAAAUAUACAGACACAAAUAGGCCAAAAGAAAAAGAAUGAAAAAAGUUACAACAUGCUAAUGCUUGUCUAAAGAAAGCUGGAGUGACUAUCCUGAUUUCAGAUAAAGGAGGUUUUGGAGGAAAGAAUAUUAUAAGGAUAAUGAAGGCUAUUUUAUAAUGAUAAAGAGGUCAAUUCUUCAAGAGGAAAUAAGCAUCCUAAACAUUUAGGCACCUAAUCAUAUAGCUUCCAAAUGCAUGAUGAGAUUGCAAGAAGUAAGCAAAACCAUAAUUACAGUCAGAGAUUUCAAUACCCCCUCUCCAUAACUAUGAGAACGAGCAGGCAGAAAAACUCAGUAAGGAUUGAGUAGACGUAGACAGCGCUGUGAAGAAAUUUGAUCCAAUUGACAUUUAUAGGCCAUUCCACCCAACGACGGCAGACUACACUCUCCUCUCAAGUGCAGGUGGGGCAUUUAUAAAGAUAGAUCAUAUUCUGGGCCAUAAAAUAAGUCUUACUAAAUUCAGCAGAAUUCAAGUGAUGCCAAAUGUAUUACCUGGCCAUAACAGAAUAGAAUUAGGAAUCAAUAACAAAAAUAUCUCUGGAAAAUUCCCAAAUAUUAAGAACUAAAUAAUAGGCCAAAUAACAGACUUCUAAAUAACUCAUGGAUCAAAGACAAAAUCAAAAGGCAAAUUAGAAAAUUUGUUGAACUGAAUAAAAGUAACAACACAGCACAUGCAAAUUUGUGGGAUGCUGAUAAACUGGUCAUUAAAGAAAAAAGUAUAGCACUAGCUGCUAUAUUGUAAAAGAAGAAGUGUCUCAAAGCAACGGCUUCAAGUUUUACCUUAAGAAACUGAGGAAAGAAGAGCAAAUUAAACCCAAGUAAAAGAGAAAGAAUGAAGAUCAAAACAGAAAUCAAUGAAAUAGGAAACAGAAAAAAAGAGAAAACCAAUGAAAGUAAAAAUUAGUUUUUUGGGAGGCUCAGUCAAAUUGAUAAGCUUCUAGCCAGAGUGAUCGGGCAGGAGGGAGGGAGGAAGAGAAGGAGAGAGGGAAAAAAGAGACCUAAGUUCCAAAUAUCAGAAGCAAGUGACCCAACCACACAUUCCACAGAUAUUAAAGGGAUAAUAGGGGAAUAUUAUAAAUGACUUUAUGCCAAUGGGUUCAACAACUUAGAUGAAAUGGAAAAAUAUUAGCAAUCAACGCUCAGAAAUUGAAAUAACAACAUUUACAAUGGCAUACAAAAUAUGAAGAACUUAGGAAUAAAUUUGACAGAAAUGCAAAAGGUAUAUUCACUGAAAACUGCAAAAUAUUACCUAGAGGAGUUAAAAAAAUUUAAAUAAAUGAAAGAUAUACCUUUCUCAUAGACCAGGAGAUUCAUUAAUGUUAAGACGUCAAUUCUCCUUAAACUGAUCUACAGAUGAAAUGCAAUCUCAAUCCAAAUUACAAAAGUCUUCACUGUGGAAACUGACAAGCUCUAAGAUUCAUAUGAAAAUGCAAAGGCCAAGCAACUCCGAAAAAGAAGAAAAAGGUUGGAGGGGUCUCACAAUCUGGUAUCAACAGCUGUUAUAGUGCGGCAUCAGCAUAAAGACAGAUCAAUAGUGCCACAAUAAACAUACGUGUGCAUGUGUCUUUAUAGCAGCAUGAUUUAUAUUCCUUUGGGUAUAUACCCAGUAAUGGGAUAGCUGGGUCAAAUGGUAUUUCUAGUUCUAGAUCCCUGAGGAAUCACCACACUGUCUUCCACAAUGGUUGAACUAGUUUACUUUGAACAAUGAGAACACCUGGACACAGGAAGGGGAA